GACGAACGCUGGCGGCGUGCUUAACACAUGCAAGUCGAACGGAAAGGCCCUGCUUUUGUGGGGUGCUCGAGUGGCGAACGGGUGAGUAACACGUGAGUAACCUGCCCUUGACUUUGGGAUAACUUCAGGAAACUGGGGCUAAUACCGGAUAGGAGCUCCUGCUGCAUGGUGGGGGUUGGAAAGUUUCGGCGGUUGGGGAUGGACUCGCGGCUUAUCAGCUUGUUGGUGGGGUAGUGGCUUACCAAGGCUUUGACGGGUAGCCGGCCUGAGAGGGUGACCGGCCACAUUGGGACUGAGAUACGGCCCAGACUCCUACGGGAGGCAGCAGUGGGGAAUAUUGCACAAUGGGCGGAAGCCUGAUGCAGCAACGCCGCGUGCGGGAUGACGGCCUUCGGGUUGUAAACCGCUUUCGCCUGUGACCAAGCGUGAAUGACGGUAAUGGGUAAAGAAGCACCGGCUAACUACGUGGCAGCAGCCGCGGUGAUACGUAAGGCGCGAGCGUUGUCCGGAUUUAUUGGGCGUAAGGGCUCGUAGGUGGUUGAUCGCGUCGGAAGUGUAAUCUUGGGGCUUAACCCUGAGUGUGCUUUCGAUACGGGUUGACUUGAGGAAGGUAGGGGAGAAUGGAAUUCCUGGUGGAGCGGUGGAAUGCGCAGAUAUCAGGAGGAACACCAGUGGCGAAGGCGGUUCUCUAGGCCUUUCCUGACGCUGAGGAGCGAAAGCGUGGGGAGCGAACAGGCUUAGAUACCCUGGUAGUCCACGCUGUAAACGGUGGGUACUAGGUGUGGGGUCCAUUCCACGGGUUCCGUGCCGUAGCUAACACUUUAAGUACCCCGCCUGGGGAGUACGGCCGCAAGGCUAAAACUCAAAGGAAUUGACGGGGCCCCGCACAAGCGGCGGAGCAUGCGGAUUAAUUCGAUGCAACGCGUAGAACCUUACCUGGGUUUGACAUGGAUCGGGAGUGCUCAGAGAUGGGUGUGCCUCUUUUGGGGUCGGUACACAGGUGGUGCAUGGCUGUCGUCAGCUCGUGUCGUGAGAUGUUGGGUUAAGUCCCGCAACGAGCGCAACCCUUGUUCACUGUUGCCAGCACGUUAUGGUGGGGACUCAGUGGAGACCGCCGGGGUCAACUCGGAGGAAGGUGGGGAUGACGUCAAGUCAUCAUGCCCCUUAUGUCCAGGGCUUCACGCAUGCUACAAUGGCUGGUACAGAGAGUGGCGAGCCUGUAAGGGUGAGCGAAUCUCGGAAAGCCGGUCUCAGUUCGGAUUGGGGUCUGCAACUCGACCUCAUGAAGUCGGAGUCGCUAGUAAUCGCAGAUCAGCAACGCUGCGGUGAAUACGUUCCCGGGGCU
rnacentral:rRNA from 1 species